rnacentral:tRNA from 1 species
GCACCCAUAGCUCAGUUGGUAGAGCAGCUCCCUCUUAAGGAGAUGGUCGUAGGUUCGACCCCUACUGGGUGCACCA